GCCACGGUGGUCUAGCGAUUAGAACGCUGGCCUUGUAAUCCUGGGGGGUCUCGGGUUCGAUUCCCGGCGGUGCCC
rfam:Zootermopsis nevadensis contig8773, whole genome shotgun sequence.